rnacentral:tmRNA from 1 species
GGGGGCGCACUGGUUUCGACCGGUUUCGUCUAGCGCGGGGCUGCGCGCCGGGGUUCUCGAGUUCCCCGUCAAUCCGCUCGGGAAACGGCAUUUACUUGCCAACAACUUUGCUCUCGCUGCCUAGUCAAUAGGCAGCCGUUCCUCCGCGGAGCGCCCGCGGCCGCAGAGGAACGCCAACAGCGGGCUGGCCGGCGAGCAACGCGCUCUGGCGGACCGGCGAGAAAUCAGGGAGCGCUGGCCCGAGGGAAGCCCGUCCGUGGGCGUCCGGAGGGCGAGAGCCAAACCGCGGACUACGCGCGUAGACGCCUCGUGCCGAGCGGUUCUGGGACGCGGGUUCGAUUCCCGCCGCCUCCACCA